CCUACGGGAGGCUGCAGUGGGGAAUUUUGGACAAUGGGGGCAACCCUGAUCCAGCCAUGCCGCGUGCGGGAAGAAGGCCUUCGGGUUGUAAACCGCUUUUGUCAGGAGAGAAAUCUCUUGGGCUAAUACCCUGAGAGGAUGACGGUACCUGAAGAAUAAGCACCGGCUAACUACGUGCCAGCAGCCGCGGUAAUACGUAGGGUGCAAGCGUUAAUCGGAAUUAGUGGGCGUAAAGGGGGCGGAGGCGGGUGAAAUCCCAGGGCUUAACCUGGGAACGGCACUUGUGACUGCACGGCUAGAGUACGGCAGAGGGGGAUGGAAUGCCGCGUGUAGCAGUGAAAUGCGUAGAUAUGCGGAGGAACACCGAUGGCGAAGGCAGUCCCCUGGGCCUGUACUGACGCUCAUGCACGAAAGCGUGGGGAGCAAACAGGAUUAGAUACCCGAGUAGUC
rnacentral:rRNA from 1 species